rnacentral:rRNA from 1 species
AUUGAACGCUGGCGGCGGGCCUAACACAUGCAAGUCGAACGAGUGGCGGAAUGGUGAGUAGUGUCUGGGAAACUGCCCGAUGGAGGGGGAUAACUGCUGGAAACGGUAGCUAAUACCGCAUAACGUCGGUUGUGCCCAGAUGGGAUUAGCUAGUAGGGGGGGUAACGGCUCACCUAGGCGACGAUGCCUAGCUGGUCUGAGAGGCUGACCAGCCACACUGGAACGGAGACACGGCCCAGACUCCUACGGGAGGCAGCAGUGGGGAAUAUUGGACAAUGGGCGAAAGCCUGAUGCAGCAAUGCCGCGUGUAUGAAGAAGGUUUUCGGGUUGUAAAGUACUGUCAGCGGGGAGGCGUUACCCGCAGAAGAAGCCACGGCUAACUACGUGCCAGCAGCCGCGGUAAUAC